UACGUAGGGUGCGAGCGUUAAUCGGAAUUACUGGGCGUAAAGCGUGCGCAGGCGGAUGUUUAAGUCAGAUGUGAAAUCCCCGGGCUUAACCUGGGAAUGGCAUUUGAAACUGGACGUCUGGAGUGCGGCAGAGGGGGGUGGAAUUCCACGUGUAGCAGUGAAAUGCGUAGAGAUGUGGAGGAACACCGAUGGCGAAGGCAGCCCCCUGGGCCUGCACUGACGCUCAUGCACGAAAGCGUGGGGAGCAAACAGG
rnacentral:rRNA from 1 species